rnacentral:rRNA from 1 species
CAGUAGCCACGGUAAUACGAGGGGGGCAAGCGUUGUUCGGAAUUAUUGGGCGUAAAGGGCGCGUAGGCGGUUUGACAAGUCUGAUGUGAAAUCUCUGGGCUCAACCCAGAGUCUGCAUCGGAAACUGUCGAGCUUGAGUAUGGGAGAGGUGAGUGGAAUUUCCGGUGUAGCGGUGAAAUGCGUAGAUAUCGGAAGGAACACCUGUGGCGAAAGCGGCUCACUGGACCAUUACUGACGCUGAGGCGCGAAAGCUAGGGGAGCAAACAGGAUUAGAUACCCGCGUAGUCCCUGUCUCUUAUAC